GACGAACGCUGGCGGCGUGCUUAAUACAUGCAAGUCGAACGGAAAGGCCCUGCUUUUGUGGGGUGCUCGAGUGGCGAACGGGUGAGUAACACGUGUGUAACACGUCCUUGUCUUUGGGGUAUCUUCAGGAAACAGGGGCUAAUACCGGAUAGGAGCUCUUGCUGCGUGGGGGGGGAUGGAGAGUUUCGGCGGUUGGGGAUGGACUCGCGGGUUAUCAGCUUGAUGGUGGGGUAGUGGCUUACCAAGGCUUUGACGGGUAGCCGGCAUGAGAGGGUGACCGGGGACAUGGCGACUGCGAUACGGCCCAGAAUGCUACGGGAGGCAGCAGUGGAGAGUAUUGCGCAGUGGGCCGAAGCGUGAGGCGGCAGCGCCGCGAGCGGAAAGACGGCCUUCGGGUUGUGAACCACUGUCGCCGUUGACGAGGCGGGAGUGACGGUAACGGGUAAAGAAGCACCGGCUAACUACGUG
rnacentral:rRNA from 1 species